rnacentral:rRNA from 1 species
GGGGAAUUUUCCGCAAUGGGCGAAAGCCUGACGGAGCAAUACAGCGUGAGGGAAGACUGCCUAUGGGUUGUAAACCUCUUUUUUCAGGGAGGAAUAAAUGACGUGUACCUGAAGAAUAAGCAUCGGCUAACUCCGUGCCAGCAGCCGCGGUAAGACGGAGGAUGCAAGUGUUAUCCGGAAUCACUGGGCGUAAAGCGUCUGUAGGUGGUUUAAUAAGUCAAUUGUUAAAUCUUGAGGCUCAACCUCAAAAUCGCAGUCGAAACUAUUAGACUAGAGUAUAGUAGAGGUAAAGGGAAUUUCCAGUGGAGCGGUGAAAUGCGUAGAUAUUGGAAAGAACACCGAUGGCGAAAGCACUUUACUGGGCUAUUACUAACACUCAGAGACGAAAGCUAGGGUAGCAAAUGGGAUUANAUACCCCAUAGUC